AACGAACGCUGGCGGCAUGCCUAACACAUGCAAGUCGAACGAGACCUUCGGGUCUAGUGGCGCACGGGUGCGUAACGCGUGGGAAUCUGCCCUUGGGUUCGGAAUAACAGUUGGAAACGACUGCUAAUACCGGAUGAUGACGUAAGUCCAAAGAUUUAUCGCCCAAGGAUGAGCCCGCGUAGGAUUAGCUAGUUGGUGAGGUAAAGGCUCACCAAGGCGACGAUCCUUAGCUGGUCUGAGAGGAUGAUCAGCCACACUGGGACUGAGACACGGCCCAGACUCCUACGGGAGGCAGCAGUGGGGAAUAUUGGACAAUGGGCGAAAGCAUGAUCCAGCAAUGCCGCGUGAGUGAUGAAGGCCUUAGGGUUGUAAAGCUCUUUUACCCGGGAUGAUAAUGACAGUACCGGGAGAAUAAGCUCCGGCUAACUCCGUG
rnacentral:rRNA from 1 species